UACGGUACACAUUUUUUAUUUGUUUAGAGCAUUGACAUUGACAUUUAUAACAAUGCUACUGAGAUUUGAAAAAAAAAUGUUAUAUAUAUACUUCGUUAAAUGCGUUGAUUUAAAAAACGAACCCCAAAUUUGAAGGAAACGUUCAGACUUUAAAAAUGAUACACAAAUCCAUCCAUGCAUUUCAUCCUUUUAACUAAGCAAAGCUCCCCUUUCAGACCUUGCGAUCUAUAUUAUAAAUUAUUAUAGGCCUAUAUACUCUUUCUCUGCUAAUUCACGAUACCAUCGUUGAUUUGACU